rnacentral:snRNA from 1 species
GCGGGUCGAUCCGGGCGGAG